rnacentral:rRNA from 1 species
UACGGGGGGGGGCAAGCGUUGUUCGGAAUCACUGGGCGUAAAGGGCGCGUAGGCGGCCCUCUUAGUCGCGUGUGAAAGCCCCGGGCUCAACCUGGGAACGGCGCGCGAAACGGGAGGGCUGGAGUUCGGGAGAGGAGAGUGGAAUUCCCAGUGUAGAGGUGAAAUUCGUAGAUAUUGGGAAGAACACCGGUGGCGAAGGCGGCUCUCUGGACCGAGACUGACGCGUGAGGCGGCGAAA